CUGCUGCAUAAGGUACCAUUUUGGUUAUACUUGAGUUGGAUGUGAUUUACAUUUUUUAGCAGUUAUUCUUUCACAAUACGUGGAGCUAAUGCAAUCUUUAUGGGAGAAAUUUCAGAUUUAGGGAUAUCUUCCAGGAGGUAUACGAAGCUAACUGGAAGCAUAAGUUGUAAGAUGAUUCCAUAUGGUAUGAGCAUCGUCUAAUCGAUGACAUGAAGCGAAGGUGGAUAUGUGUGGACUUGCAGAAAUUACGACGGAGAUGUCCAGAGUGAUAUCCUCGCUCAAGGUACUGCCCAGGAAUUGGUGCAUGUGCAUAUAAGGUGGUACAAGUGAAUUGUCGACAUAGAAGCUUAUAUGGGUGAAAUCUAUUACCAAUAACCUUAACUUUCAAAUGGCACGGCAGUCCCUGCAAUUGGUAAUUAUAUAAUAACAUAAUAAAGGCGGAGAUUCAAAAGUACUUGCAGAAUGCACGUUGUGAGAGGGAGAAAUGUUUUAGCAUAUGGCACAUACAAGUAUUUUUAUAAGAAAACGGGUAAAUCAUGAAGAAGCAGCCAAGCAGGUGAACAUUCAUGUGUGCCUAAUUUGCGAGGGUGACCAUGAAUUACACUAUAGAAAAAAAGGGGUUCUAAUAGAUGUGGAUUUUGGUAUUCCUGCAUCUUCCAAUGAUGUUGAUGUUUCCACCGUGUCAAUGACGACGAGUACUUUCCAGUUGCUGAAUAAGAAUCUUAUAAACAAGAGAUGAAGAUUCCCCAUGUACAAGUUCUGUCGACUAUUGUCACUCAGAAGAAUAUGAAAGCAUGGAUGUUCAUUCAAAUGAUGAUGAAGAAAAAGAAGAUGAAUAUCAUGAAGAAGAAGAGAAUCAAGUAGAAGUAUCACUGAUUCAACUGUAAUAGAAGAGAGCGAAGAAAUAUAUUUGAUAUGAAUAUAACAAGCAAUUGAGGUGCUCACUUCUCAUAUAUGAAACUUU